rnacentral:lncRNA from 7 species
UCAGUACAGGGAGCCCAUGGUGUGCUCAAUUGGGUCAGUGGGGCCAUGGGGUGCUCAGUGGGGUCUAUGGGGUGCUCAGUGGGGUCAGUGGGGCCAUGGGGUGCUCUGGGGUCUAUGGGUCUACGUGGGGUCAGAGUGGGGCCAAUGGGUGCUCAAUGGGGUCUAAUGGGGCCCAUGGGGUGCUCAAUGGGGUCAAUGAGGUCAAUGGGGCCCAUGGGGUGAUCAGUGGGGUCCAUGAGGUCAAUGGGCCCAUGGGGUGCUCAGUGGGGUCAGUGGGGCCCAUGGGGUGAUCAGUGGGGUCCAUGAGGUCAAUGGGGCCAUGGGGUGCUCAAUGGGGUCUAUGGGGCCCAUGGGGUUAUCAAUGGGGUCCAUGAGGUCAAUGGGGUCCAUGGUCAAGGGGCCAUGGGGGCUCAGUGGGUCUAUGUGGUGCUCAGUGGGGUCAGUGGGGUCAUGGGGUGCUCAGUGGGGUGCCCCACUCACGCAGGCAGCGGUCGCAGUGUCCCGGCCCGCGGAGCAGACAGGAGCUGUGUGAGUGACAGCCGCAGGGCAGGGAGCAGGGCGGGACCGGCGCCGGCUCCANNNNNNNNNNNNNNNNNNNNNNNNNNNNNNNNNNNNNNNNNNNNNNNNNNNNNNNNNNNNNNNNNNNNNNNNNNNNNNNNNNNNNNNNNNNNNNNNNNNNGGGCCACUUUGGGUGCUCAACCCCCAUUAUGGUCCCACUAUGGGUCCCCCUUGGGGGUCUUUGGGGGUCACUUAUGGGUCUCAGCCCCACUUAUGGGUCCCUCCUCUCCUAUGGUUCCCCCCUCACUUAUGUGUCCCCCACUUAUGGGUCCCACUUGGGGAUUUUGGGGGUCACUUAUGGGUCUCAGCUUCCAACUUAUGGGUCCCCCUCCAUGGUUCCCCCCACUUACGUGUCCCCCCACUUAUGGGUCCGCCCCCCAUAUGGUUCCCCCCCCACUUACGUGUCUCCCACUUAUGGGUCCCACCCCCCCAUUUAUGGGUCCUACCUCCACUUCUGGGUCCCACUUGGGGGUCUUUGGGGGUCACUUAUGGGUCUCAGCCCCACUUAUGGGUCCGCCCCCCAUAUGGUUCCCCCCCCACUUACGUGUCCCUCACUUAAUGGGUUCCGUCCCCGCGCAUUUAAUGGGUCCCCCCUGCAGUUCCUGGUCCCAACCUGGGGGCUUUGGGGUCAAUUAUGGGUCUCAACCCCACUUAUGGGUCGUCCCCCCCCCAUAUGGUUCCCCCCCCCUUAUGUGUCCCCCACUUAUGGGCCCCACUUUGGGCCCCCCCCCCCACUUAUGUGUCCCCCCCACACUUCUGGGUCCCACUUGGGGGUCUUUGGGGGUCACUUGGGGUCCCCCCCCACUUCUGGUCCCCACUUAUGGGUCACCCCGCAGGACUUCGGGCCCCACACCCCACAGCGCCCCCCCCCCGCUGCCAUCAGCACCGCUCCUGCGCUGUCUGCAUUGGGUCCUAUGGGGCGGAGGGCGGCUGCGUCUGGAGCGAUGGGCUGCAGCAGUGUCUCAGCCCCGCCUUCACCCCAUGGCGCUGCGCCGGGGGCGGUGGCUGUGGGCGGCUGCGCCGAUUGCCGAUCCUCAUUGAGCGACAGGGAGAGCAGCCAUGAGCGCCGGGGGGCGGAGCUCUGUCCCGCUCCCUGCCAGGGGGCGGGGCUUUGCGCUGCCUGUCUGCGAUGCCGGGCUGUGGUUGGUGCGCUCCGCCCGGUGGGCGGGGCCUCGGUGGGCGGUGCUUGGAGGGCGGCCCGGCUGGACCACGGGAAGGUGAGGGGCGGGGCUUAAGGCGGGGGGCGGGGCUUAAGGGUUGGAUGGGGAAUUGGGAUUGGCGGGCUUGAGGAGGGGAGGGGCUUAUGGAGGGCGGGGUUAAAUGAGUAGAGCGUAAUGGAGGGGGCGUGGCUUAAAGGAGGGGGCGGGGCUUAACGAGGAUGAGUCUGUAAGGGGGGCGGGGGCUUAUAAGGUCCCAUUACCUCCCCAUAGCUGCCCCAAAACACUCCAUAGCUGCCCCACAGACCCUAAAAGUGCCCCAUAGAGCCCUAUAACCACCCCAUAGCUGCCCCAUAACACCCCAUAGCUGCCCCAUAACACCCACAGCUGCCUCACAGAACCUAUAACCACCCAUAGUGCCCCAUAACACCCCAUAGCUGCCCCAUAAACACCCACAGCUGCCUCACAGACCUAUAACCACCCCAUAGCUGCCCCAUAACACCCCAUAGCUGCCCCAUAACACCCACAGCUGCCUCACAGAACCUAUAACCACCCCAUAGCUGCCCCAUAACACCCCAUAGCUGCCCCAUAACACCCACAGCUGCCUCACAGAACCUAUAACCACCCCAUAGCUGCCCCAUAACACCCCAUAGCUGCCCCAUAACACCCACAGCUGCCUCACAGAACCUAUAACCACCCCAUAGCUGCCCCAUAACACCCAUUAGCUGCCCCAUAACACCCACAGCUGCCUCACAGAACCUAUAACCACCCCAUAGCUGCCCCAUAACACACCCAUAGCUGCCCCAUAACACCCACAGCUGCCUCACAGAACCUAUAAGUGCCCCAUAGCUGCCCCAUAACACCCAUAGCUGCCCCACAGACCCUAUAAGUGCCCCAUAGCUGCCCCAUAACUGUCCUAUAGCUGCCCCAUAACCACCCCAUAGAGCCACAUAACACCCCAUAGCUGCCCCACAGACACUAUAAUACCCCAUAGCUGCCCCAUAACACCCAUAGCUGCCCCAUAGACACAAUAAGUGCCCCAUAGAGCCCCAUAACACCCCGUAGGUGCCCCACAGACCCUAUAAUGUCACAUAGCGCCCCAUAACCACCCCAUAGCUGCCCCAUAACACCCAUAGCUGCCCCACAGACCCUAUAAGUGCCCCAUAGCUGCCCCAUAACACCCACAGCCUCCCCACAGAUCCUGCAAGUGCCCCAUAGAGCCCCAUAACCACCCCAUAGCUGCCCCAUAACCACCCCAUAGCUGCCCCAUAACACCCACGGCUGCCCCACAGACCCUAUAAGUGCCCCAUAAGAGCCCAUACCACCCAUAGCUGCCCCACAGACCCUAUAAGUGCCACAUAAUGCCCCAUAAACACCCUAUAGCUGCCCCAUAACCACCUCAUAGCUGCUCCAUUACACCCAUAGCUGCCCCACAGACCCUAUAAUACCCCAUAGUUGCCCCAUAAUACCUCGUAGCUGCUCCACAGACCCUAUAAUGCCACAUAGCGCCCCAUAACCACGCCAUAGCUGCCCCAUAACACCCACGGCUGCCCCACAGACCCUAUAAUGUCACAUAGCGCCCCAUAACACCCACAGCUGCCCCACAGACCCUAUAAGUGCCACAUAGCGCCCCAUAACCACCCCAUGGCUGCCCCACAGACCCUAUAAGUGCCCCAUAGAGCCCCAUAACCACCCCAUAGCUGCCCCAUAACCACCCCAUAGCUGCCCCAUAACACCCACAGCUGCCCCACAGACCCUAUAAUGUCACAUAGCGCCCCAUAACCACCCCAUAGGUGCCAUAAGAGCCACAAAGGGGGCGGGGCUAUGGGCGGGGGAUGGGAUCUAUGGGGCGGGGGAUGGGAUCUAUG